rnacentral:rRNA from 1 species
GAUGAACGCUGGCGGCGUGCCUAAUACAUGCAAGUCGAGCGAACAGACGAGGAGCUUGCUCCUCUGACGUUAGCGGCGGACGGGUGAGUAACACGUGGAUAACCUACCUAUAAGACUGGGAUAACUUCGGGAAACCGGAGCUAAUACCGGAUAAUAUAUUGAACCGCAUGGUUCAAUAGUGAAAGACGGUUUUGCUGUCACUUAUAGAUGGAUCCGCGCCGCAUUAGCUAGUUGGUAAGGUAAAGGCUUACCAAGGGAACGAUGCGUAGCCGACCUGAGAGGGUGAUCGGCCACACUGGAACUGAGACACGGUCCAGACUCCUACGGGAGGCAGCAGUAGGGAAUCUUCCGCAAUGGGCGAAAGCCUGACGGAGCAACGCCGCGUGAGUGAUGAAGGUCUUCGGAUCGUAAAACUCUGUUAUUAGGGAAGAACAAAUGUGUAAGUAACUAUGCACGUCUUGACGGUACCUAAUCAGAAAGCCACGGCUAACUACGUG